UACAGGGGGGGCAAGCGUUGUUCGGAAUUACUGGGCGUAAAGGGCCAGUAGGCGGCCAACUAAGUCCGACGUGAAAUCCCCAGGCUUAACCUGGGAACUGCGUCGGAUACUGGAUGGCUUGAAUUCGGGAGAGGGAUGCAGAAUUCCAGGUGUAGCGGUGAAAUGCGUAGAUAUCUGGAGGAAUACCGGUGGCGAAGGCGGCAUCCUGGACCGACAUUGACGCUGAUGAGCGAAAGCUAGGGGAGCAAACGGG
rnacentral:rRNA from 1 species